rnacentral:rRNA from 1 species
GACGAACGCUGGCGGCGUGCUUAACACAUGCGAGUCGAACGGAAAGGCCCUGCUUUUGUGGGGUGCUCGAGUGGCGAAAGGGUGAGUAACACGUGAGUAACCUGCCCUUGACUUUGGGAUAACUUCAGGAAACUGGGGCUAAUACCGGAUAGGAGCUCCUGCUGCAUGGUGGGGGUUGGAAAGUUUCGGCGGUUGGGGAUGGACUCGCGGCUUAUCAGCUUGUUGGUGGGGUAGUGGCUUACUAAGGCUUUGACGGGUAGCCGGCCUGCGAGGGUGACCGGCCACAUUGGGACUGAGAUACGGCCCAGACUCCUACGGGAGGCAGCAGUGGGGAAUAUUGCACAAUGGGCGGAAGCCUGAUGCAGCAACGCCGCGUGCGGGAUGACGGCCUUCGGGUUGUAAACCGCUUUCGCCUGUGACGAAGCGUGAGUGACGGUAAUGGGUAAAGAAGCACCGGCUAACUACGUG